rnacentral:piRNA from 2 species
UAGGAUAUGGGGGAAGGGUGUCUCACCAGU